CCAAUAGCGUAUAUUAAAGUUGUUGCAGUUAAAAAGCUCGUAGUUGAAUUUCGGGAUUGACGUGAUGGUCAUGCCUUAAGGGGUAUGAACUGUCACUGUUGAUUUCUCACCUUCUGGAGAAACUUGAUGUCCUUUAUUGGGUGUCUUGCGGAUCCAGGACCUUUACCUUGAAAAAAUUAGAGUGUUUAAAGCAGGCAUUUUUGCUCGAAUACAUUAGCAUGGAAUAAUAGAAUAGGACGGCAUGGUUCUAUUUUGUUGGUUUCUAGGAUCACCGUAAUGAUUAAUAGGGAUAGUUGGGGGCAUUAGUAUUCAAUUGUCAGAGGUGAAAUUCUUGGAUUUAUUGAAGACUAACUACUGCGAAAGCAUUUGCCAAGGAUGUUUUCAUUAAUCAAGAACGAAAGUUAGGGGAUCGAAGACGAUCAGAUACCGUCGUAGUCUUAACCAUAAACUAUGCCGACUAGGAAUCAGACGAUGUUAAUUUUUUAAUGACUCGUUUGGCACCUUACG
rnacentral:rRNA from 1 species